AAAAUACAAAAUUCUCAUCUCAUCCUCCAGACAUGCCCCGAUCAUUUCUCCCUCUCGUGUGUUGUGGGUCUAAAAGAAGAAAUGCAUGUCGGGGUCUCUGUUUGUUGCUUCCCGUUGUGUGUUCUUGCCUUGUUGUUGAUCGUUUUUUGAUGUAGCUUGCCGUGGCCCAUGUUUGAUUAUGAGCUGUAGAAGAAAAAGUUAAUCUCAAGGUGUCUGUUUCUUGCCUCCCUUCGUGUGUUAUUGGGUUCUUCUGAAUCGAUUCUGCAUGUCCUUUGUCAUGGAAGAAAAAUUUCCUCUCGGGGUCUCUAUUCCUUGCCUCUGGUCGUGUAUUAUUGGUUUCUUGUUGCAAGCUCAUGGUUGUGAUAUGUCGUGGGUAUGAUAUCUCGCCUUCAUCUUAUCUUUUUUUUUGUUUUUUGGUUUUGUUGGUUAUAUUUUGCUUGAUUUUGCAUCUGAAUUGUCAGUCUCAUGUUCUGUUUUCUAUAUUGGUUGUGAGGUCUGGAAGAAAAAGUUCCUCUCGAGGUCUCUGUUCCUUGCCUCCCGUCAUGUAUUCUUGGCUUCUUGUUGCAAGUUUCUGGUUGUGAUCUAUUGUGGAAGAGAAUGUCUAUCUCGGGGUGUCUGUUUCACAGCUCCUGUCUGUUUGGGUAUUCACUAUCGUUUCUGCCAAUCUUCUGUUGUGGGUAUGGUCUCUUGGCUGGAUCAAGACAUAGCAGCUCAGAAUAGAUUAUUCAACUGACUGCAGACCUAGACAAGUGGAAGCACCAAUGCCACAAAGAAUUCAACAUCAUUUCCAUCCAUAUAGUAGAUGAAACAACAACAUAACUCUUGAAUGUAUUUAUAACUCAACUCAUGUGUAACAGCCACUUUCAGGGUCUUACAAAACAUUUGGAUGUUAUAUGUUGCUCUUAAGAUUAAAACUAUAAUUUAUAUUCUCUGUGUUGCUUUUUUA